rnacentral:misc_RNA from 1 species
CAACGUUUGCCUCACAGUUCGCUCAUCUCCAGAUACUAUCACCAUGACUUCGUACACUCAAGCUCUUGACCUCGUGAUCAGGUUCCCUUUGAACUUUGACAUCUGGGCCCCUCCUCGCCAAGUAGAAGAUAAGUGUCGCCCGUCUCGUAACAGAUCACCGAACAUCCGUAGUCCAAGAGUAUCUCUCCAGUUGAUGUGUAUCGCGCCUGUUAUAAACAUGUAACAGUGAAACAUUGUAAUAAACUUAUAAAGCC